rnacentral:rRNA from 1 species
AUGAAAGGCGCAGAUAGAACUAUGAGACCUCAAAGAGGGAACAAUGGCUUCAGAUUUGAAGCAAAGUGGUUGCAGGAGGAGGGAUGUGAAGAGAUAGUCAGGAAUGCAUGGUCCGACGCGUCUUUUCGAGGCGAAAAUGAUUUAUCUCGGGAACUAAGAAGAAUCGCGGGAGAUCUAAAAAAUUGGGACACUAAUGUGUUAGGGGGUCUAGAGAAAAGAAUUAAAACAAUAAAAACUGAGCUAGAACAUGUGAGGAGAGCACCGAUUGACGAGAACACGGUGUCUCGAGAGCAUCUCUUGAGGGAAAAGCUGGAUAGACUGGACCACCAACAGGACAUAUUCUGGAGAUAG